rnacentral:tRNA from 1 species
GGAGAGAUGGCCGAGUGGUUUAAGGCGGCGGUCUUGAAAACCGCUGAACGCAAGUUCCGGGGGUUCGAAUCCCUCUCUCUCCGCCA